rnacentral:rRNA from 1 species
UACGUAGGUGGCAAGCGUUGUCCGGAAUUAUUGGGCGUAAAGCGCGCGCAGGCGGCCUCUUAAGUCUGAUGUGAAAGCCCCCGGCUCAACCCGGGGAGGGCCAUUGGAAACUGGGAGGCUUGAGUAUAGGAGAGAAGAGUGGAAUUCCACGUGUAGCGUGAAAUGCGUAGAGAUGUGGAGGAACACCAGUGGCGAAGGCGACUCUUUGGCCUAUAACUGACGCUGAGGCGCGAAAGCGUGGGGAGCAAACAGG